UCGCAGGCUGCAACCCGCCUGCGUGAAGUCGGAAUCGCUAGUAAUCGCGGAUCAGCAUGCCGCGGUGAAUACGUUCCCGGGCCUUGUACACACCGCCCGUCACACCAUGAGAGUCGGGAACACCCGAAGCCCGUAGCCUAACAGCAAUGAGGGCGCAGUCGAAGGUGGGAUUGAUAAUUAGGGUGAAGUCGUAACAAGGUAAC
rnacentral:rRNA from 1 species